AGGGUUUGAUCAUGGCUCAGGAUGAACGCUGGCGGCGUGCUUAACACAUGCAAGUCGAACGAACCUUCGGGUUAGUGGCGGACGGGUGAGUAACGCGUGAGAAUCUGCCCUCAGGAGGGGGAUAACGGUUGGAAACGACCGCUAAUACCCCAUAUGCCGAUAGGUGAAAUGAAUUUCGCCUGAGGAUGAGCUCGCGUCUGAUUAGCUAGUUGGUGAGGUAAUGGCUCACCAAGGCUUCGAUCAGUAGCUGGUCUGAGAGGAUGAUCAGCCACACUGGGACUGAGACACGGCCCAGACUCCUACGGGAGGCAGCAGUGGGGAAUUUUCCGCAAUGGGCGAAAGCCUGACGGAGCAACGCCGCGUGAGGGACGAAGGCCUCUGGGCUGUAAACCUCUUUUCUCAAGGAAGAAGAUAUGACGGUACUUGAGGAAUAAGCCACGGCUAAUUCCGUGCCAGCAGCCGCGGUAAUACGGGAGUGGCAAGCGUUAUCCGGAAUUAUUGGGCGUAAAGCGUCCGCAGGCGGCUUUUCAAGUCUGCUGUUAAAACGUGGAGCUUAACUCCAUCAUGGCAGUGGAAACUGAAAGGCUUGAGUAUGGUAGGGGCAGAGGGAAUUCCCGGUGUAGCGGUGAAAUGCGUAGAUAUCGGGAAGAACACCAGUGGCGAAGGCGCUCUGCUGGGCCAUAACUGACGCUCAUGGACGAAAGCCAGGGGAGCGAAAGGGAUUAGAUACCCCUGUAGUCCUGGCCGUAAACGAUGAACACUAGGUGUCGGGGGAAUCGACCCCUUCGGUGUCGUAGCUAACGCGUUAAGUGUUCCGCCUGGGGAGUACGCACGCAAGUGUGAAACUCAAAGGAAUUGACGGGGGCCCGCACAAGCGGUGGAGUAUGUGGUUUAAUUCGAUGCAACGCGAAGAACCUUACCAGGGUUUGACAUCCUGCGAACCUCUUAGAAAUUUGAGGGUGCCUUCGGGAAUGCAGUGACAGGUGGUGCAUGGCUGUCGUCAGCUCGUGUCGUGAGAUGUUGGGUUAAGUCCCGCAACGAGCGCAACCCACGUUUUUAGUUGCCAGCAUUUAGUUGGGCACUCUAGAAAGACCGCCGGUGAUAAACCGGAGGAAGGUGUGGAUGACGUCAAGUCAUCAUGCCCCUUACACCCUGGGCUACACACGUACUACAAUGCUACGGACAAAGGGCAGCAAACUCGCGAGAGCUAGCUAAUCCCAUAAACCGUGGCUCAGUUCAGAUCGUAGGCUGCAACUCGCCUACGUGAAGUAGGAAUCGCUAGUAAUCGCAGGUCAGCAUACUGCGGUGAAUACGUUCCCGGGCCUUGUACACACCGCCCGUCACACCAUGGAAGUUGGCCAUGCCCGAAGUCGUUACUCCAACCCUUGUGGAGGAGGACGCCGAAGGUGGGGCUAAUGACUGGGGUGAAGUCAUAACAAGGUAGCCGUA
rnacentral:rRNA from 1 species